rnacentral:rRNA from 1 species
GAUGAACGCUAGCGGCAGGCUUAACACAUGCAAGUCGAGGGGCAGCAUGACGGAACCUUCGGGUUUUGUCGAUGGCGACCGGCGCAAGGGUGCGUAACGCGUGAGCAACUUGCCCGUUUCAGGGGGAUAACCGGUGGAAACGCCGACUAAUACCCCAUAGUAUCAUAUUCAGGCAUCUUUAUAUGAUUAAAGAAUUUCGGAAACGGAUAGGCUCGCGUGACAUUAGCUAGACGGCGGGGUAACGGCCCACCGUGGCGACGAUGUCUAGGGGUUCUGAGAGGAAGGUCCCCCACACUGGAACUGAGACACGGUCCAGACUCCUACGGGAGGCAGCAGUGAGGAAUAUUGGUCAAUGGUCUGACGACUGAACCAGCCAAGUCGCGUGAGGGAAGACGGCCCUACGGGUUGUAAACCUCUUUAGUCGGGGAGCAAAAAGGACCACGCGUGGUCCAUUGAGCGUACCCGAAGAAUAAGCAUCGGCUAACUCCGUG